GGAGUACUCCCUCCGUCCGGAAAUACUUGUCAUCAAAAUGAAUAAAAGGAGAUGUAUCUAGAUGUAUUUUAGUUUUAGAUACAUCCCUUUUUGUCCAUUUUGAUGACAAGUACGCCUGAUAAACUGGAGGGAGGGCUUC
rfam:Triticum aestivum genome assembly, contig: Triticum_aestivum_CS42_TGACv1_scaffold_423477_5BS